rnacentral:rRNA from 1 species
CCUACGGGAGGCAGCAGUGAGGAAUAUUGGUCAAUGGACGCAAGUCUGAACCAGCAAUGCCGCGUGCAGGAAGACGGCUCUAUGAGGUGUAAACUGCUUUUGUACGAGGGUAAACGCAGAUACGCGGAUCUGUCUGAAAGUAUCGUACGAAUAAGGAUCGGCUAACUCCGUGCCAGCAGCCGCGGUAAGACGGAGGAUACAAGCGUUAUCCGGAUUUAUUGGGUUUAAAGGGUGCGUAGGCGGUCGGAUAAGUUAGAGGUGAAAUCCCGAGGCUCAACUUCGGAAUUGCCUCUGAUACUGUUCGGCUAGAGAGUAGUUGCGGUAGGCGGAAUGUAUGGUGUAGCGGUGAAAUGCUUAGAGAUCAUACAGAACACCGAUUGCGAAGGCAGCUUACCAAGCUACUUCUGACGUUGAGGCACGAAAGCGUGGGGAGCAAACAGGAUUAGAUACCCCUGUAGUC